GCCGUCACCCCACCUCCCCCCUUCCCACCCCCCCACUUCCCUCAGCUUGAGAAUCUGGAUUCUGCGUCGGACUGCAAAGAGGCCUGUUAAUAUAAUGUUACCAAACAUAUCCGUAUUGCCACCAUCAUCAUCUUCGGAAUCCCUUGCUUCUCUAGAACAAGUUAUUGGGGGAUUCAAAAGUAUAAUUAAUAAGAAUGACAAGGUGAUAUCGCCUGUGAAUUAGGCGGUAGCACCAUCUAAGUGAAUAAAACACAGUGAGUUACUGAUAACUCGGGCUCUACAAAACCUUGUAUCUGACAUCAUUAAAAGCCAAACCCCAGAGCUCCAGACUUCUUGCCAUGCUGUUCUACAGUCCAAACUAACACGUAGAACUAAAUUAAUUAAUUCUCUACCGAUUAAUGGCCUUCUCUCCCACUAUUUUGUUCUUAUACAUGAUUUUAUACCUUUAGACAUAGUCAUAGACAUAUGACUCUUUGGUUUGUCACUAUGGAAUACGCACUUGGAUAUGCGCAUUAUUUUCAGAGAACGAGUUAGACACGGAUACGUGUUCUUAUGAAUACUGACAACGUUUUCCGCCGCCUUAGAAUCAGAAAAAAAUACAGAUUUUCAUUUUCUGUUUCAUAAGUUCGCUUCCAAAGCAUCCCCACGUCCAAUCUCGUAUCUAUUUUCUUCAUAAAUAUAUACAAGGGCAUCACUGUGGACGUAUUAUAUAUAUAUAUCUUACUCUCCGGAUAUCAUUUGAUUAUCUCUGAUGCAGGCCCAGGCUGUGUAUGAAAGGCGGGCAGUUCACCGGAAAAGAUCAUCCGUCGGAAUCAUUGUGUUUAUAUUGGUCUGUCCCUGGCUCUGCAUCCGUACGCGCAAAUACAAAGCCGGCCCCUGCAUGAGCUGCAUGCAUUAAUCCCGGGACUAAACUGCAGGAUAUCUGAGAAAAUAUGUUAGCUUCAACCCGGCCGUGCAGCCUCGGAGGAUUCAGCAUGCAAACGAUGCCUUCCUCUACCAUUACGCACGUUUGCUGCCACAAACUCCAUUAAAACAACAGCAAAAAAAUGAUUUUGUAUUACUUUCGUCGAAUAGGAAUUAUAAUACUUUUUUUUUCGUCGAGAGAGUGAUUGAAAGCAGAAGAUCAUCAAAAAGUCAAUCCAUCUAAUCUUAAUCCGCCGAGUUCAAUUAACUGAGGUCCCUGAUUGCGAGGAAAUGAUUCACGGUCUUUCCCUGCUUAAUAAGGCAGAAUAUGAAGCCGCGUAUAUGUGGGUUUCAUUACCGACUCGUCCUCUGAGACAGAGGUUUAGGCAAAUCUGCGCAAACUCCCGAGUCCUGAGACCCGGCUAGAUGACUGAAGCCACCCGCCCCUCAGUCACCCCCCCCCCCCCCCCAGGCGGAGUUAUUACCGUCGCGGAUGGCUGAGUUUCCAUCGCUUUCAAUGCGUCGCCGCGCCGAGUCAAAGCUACACGACGCGUUUAAUACAUAAGCAGCCGGCGAUCCUUUGACGUUCAUGCGGCGCCUUUAUGUAACGGAUUGUGCUUUAGAUGAAAUAUGAGAGGCCACCAGUCAAAACACGGAAUAAAAUUGAUUAAAAUUAAUAAUGAAAACGAUAAAAAAUGAUUGGCAUUGACAAUGUAAUCCAGCGAAUUACUGGUAUAAAAAAGGUACCAGUUUGAACGCCCCCCACCCUCAAAAUGAUACGGGUGUGAACCUAUGCCCCACGAAUUUUAUUUCUGGCUACGGACAUACCAGUAUUAAAAAACCCAUCACUAUAACGGCCCAGAAACUAGUCAAUGAUAUAUAUUUUUUACGUAACUGCUUUGUCUACCCAUGUGCGCCCCCCACCCUUCCUCAGCCAGGAUAAGUGGUUAGAAGUUGGAUGGAAAUUUUAUAACAUCCAACCAAACACUAAUGGAUUAACAUACAAUUUUCAAACAGAAAUAUAUCUUUCACUAGGCCUUUUGGAGAGCUCACGUUAAAAUGUGGUUUAACUAUUAACAGUUGACUUUACAAAAAAAAAUCAAGUGUUUUACCUAUUGCAUACGAUUUCAGAAUUGAUACAAAUUGACAACCAAUUUCUAAGCAAUCUUUGCGUCCACUGACCUGAGUGAGAAGGACGUUCCCGCACUAACUUACUGUAGACCAAGGAGCCAGUAAGUAGGCCUGUAUAAAAUCAUACUGGCAGAAAAGCUGUCAUCCUCCGGCAGAAAGGGUCACCUUCCCUUAUUAGUGAUGUGAAGAGGGAGCACUACAGCGAUCGGAAGUCAAAGGAUAGCAUCUGAUCCCCUGGCAGGAAAAACUAUGACAGAUAAGAAAAAACCACAAGAGCCUUUACCAAUCGUGGUUUAAACGUCAUUUCGAUGGGUUUGCCGUGUGUUAGCUCAACGCAAAGGCACCUAUAAAAUGUGUAUCAUAUUAAAACGUCAACCCAAGUCUAUCACAUAAUUCUUCACCUUAGUGUUGCCCGUGGGACAGUGUCUUGUACCCACAAAAUCCUCACUAAGAACAACAAUGAGAUAAGCGCCGUUGCAAAUGCUUGAACAUGCAAAUUUAUUUCCCUUUAAACACAUAUUAUGAGAGCAUUUUAACUGGCCAUUAAAGGAAAUUCGCCUGAAAACAUCAUUUAAAACCACUCAGUGAACUUAUUGUUCGUCUCAUAUCUUCAUCUGCACGACAAUGGCCUUGAAAUCCAUAAAAAAAGCAAUCCGAAGUAGGGCGGAAAGUGACAACAGCUAAAGCCCGAAAUACCGAGGUGAUGCGGGAGAAGCCUUUCAUUCAUUUUUAAAUCAAGAACACGGAUGUUUAUUGGCUUCACAAAACAGCCAGUUUUAUCGCCCAGGACAGGAACUCCUUACACAGAUGGAGAUAAAGAACGCGGAGGUCGGAUGUGUAAUGUCUAUGAAUGGCCAGGAGGUGGCGAGCAGCAACGCCAAAACAUAGAGCCAAAUCACCGAGGAGGUGAAGUAUUUAUUGGGCUGUCGUAUAUCUUACUCUUUCACGGCGAAAUGAAAGAAAAAAGAAAACGAAGAAUGAUAACCCCAACCCUUUUAAAUACAAAAUUGGUAAUUUAAGAAUACAGAUCUGUUCAUUUUAUCUAAACCCAUUGUAAUUAUGCAAAAAUGUAAUGUUCCUUUAUACCUAUGUGGGCUACCUCUUGGGUAGCAACACACCGCCCGCAGGCGCACAGACCAAUGAGGUGCGAGCCUGCACGCGUCCACCUUCCCCAGAGCUUUCGCACGCUUUAGGAUGCAGCGCAUCUUAGAAAGAAAGAAAAAAAAAUGCAGUCAUGCUGCAGGUGGAAAAUCGCGCGAGGAGAGCCGCGUCUCCUUGGUGGAGCUCGUGGACUCCUGUAUGGCCAACGACCGCGGGCCCUCUAUGGCCCGUAUCUGACACACUCCAGGCCGGUCCACCAUCAUUUCUCAUCUUUCAUCCAAACUACACAAACACACAGGUAGCAGGCUGUCGAAAAGAUGCAGGGAAAGCAGUGAUGAAUGUAAAAGUGCAAUAAGAAAGAAAAAAAAAACAGAAAUUAACCAGCCAGGGGAAGGUGAAGUGACUUUGGUUGGUGAGAGUGUCAUCUCACACACCACAAAACUUUUUAGGGCGAAAAUCUAUAUAUAAAUACAUAGGGGAGACUGGGGAUGAAUAUAACAUGGGAUAGUUCUCAAACCAGGAAGGAGGUACAAAUGGCAUAACUCACUCUGCACAUGCUCAGUUUAGCCUUCAUUUCACAUUGAAGAAGGAGCACCCUGUAACACACUCGGAUUUGUAAGGAAAGAAGAGGUUUGAGGUAAGAAAGUCAUUUUUUUACUUUUGUGAUAGCACUACAAGCUUUGUACUUACAUUAUUCAAACCUAAAUCAUGUGCCGGUGUACAUACCUUUUACGCAAGUUCUGAGUGCUAAUAUUGUUGCUCUUUGCGGCAAGGUAAACUUGUUCAUGACACCACAGUCUGGGACGGUUGUAGCAGCAUUUCUCCAGCUGUCCCCCGGGUCACUUCUCAAGCAACAUUUCAAAGUCAAAUGGGGAGAACUCUAAUCCCAGCAUGACGACCUUAACCCCCACCCAGCUCUAACCUUAACCGCAAGAAUACCAGUCCAGCACCUCACAAGACAAGGGGCCACUUUUACAGAACAGCUAUGACACCAUCUAUGAAAUCCUGGCCUACAGGAAAUCUUCUGCUGCUGAUUGGUGCUGUGGGGUGGCCACCAGUGGCCUCCACUCUCCGGGCCUCCUUGGGAAUGGAUUCUCCAUUGACUUGCAGGCUUGUGCCAUCUUGCCUUUACUUGCAUGUCUUUAGGGCCUCUUGCUGGUCAUGAGAAGGAUUAGAUCAGAGUUUAGCUGCGUGUUACAUGCCUGCACCGAUGUUUGCUCCGUCGUCUUGAGUUGCAAUGCACAUGCGCAAAUUGUUGCCUCUCAUGUGAAUCCACUGUGGUUCCAUUGUGACAAAUCACCAUGUUUGACACAGGGACCAGAAAAGUGGAACUCAAAGAUCCAACCGGGAAAAGAAUGAGCUGGUGUGACAUACAGUUAUCCGUUCAUUAUUUUCCCAAGAACAACAAUAUUAACAAUAUUAAUGUUAUUAUGUUAUAACCCUGAACCUUGAAGCCUUGCUGGUACUUUCAGCCUUCAGCCUAAGCCGUCGUCAACUUAUGACCACGAUCGGUUCCGACUGACCAGUCAUAACUCCAUUUGGUUGUAAAUUGACCCUUAAUUUUAUAUGCAAAAUAAUUGUGUAUAGUGUACCAUAUAAUAAAAUUAAAUCAUCUUUAAAUCA